UUCAAGCUAUUCUUUGCCCAAGUUACUUUAAUACUGGGCUGUCCAUUUUUCACAGGCAGACUGACUGCAUAGCCCAGCAGCAGCUGCAAGAACACAGGCUGAGAUGUGUUCUGUUCUAGUUAUAAAUUAGCAUCUUAAUCUGUGUGGAUGUUGUGACCAGACAUCGAUGACAGUAAGCAUAGCUGCCUCUGUGCACAUGAACAAUUAUUGCUUGUAAAUGGCCUCUCUCUAAAUCAACCUAUUAACCUAUUUUUUUCAUGAUAUAUUUUAAACAUACAUGGGUCUCAGCAGCUACUGUCUAAUCUACAGGAUUUGGGAGACUGUUCAGAUUUCUGGACCUUCCAGGUUUCUGGAUCUAGACAAAGCUCAUAAACAGAGCAUAAAACAUCGGUAAUGUUUAGACUGAAUGUGAAACAAUUCCACAGAAAAUUAAAAGCAAAUCACUUUUCCCUGCAGUUUGGCUUAGACAGAAUUUAACUUAAUUGAAUACGGACAGCCCUAUUCUGCAAAAAUAUUACAAGCAAAGGUAGAAAUACAACACAAUUGCGGUCUUGUAUCUAAGCCACUCAGAAAAUAACUGUUCCCUAUUGCAUCCUCGGUGGGAAAAUUACAUCUUUACAGGUCUCCAGGACUCCCAAGGAUCUAAGGAUAUUAGAAUGGUGCAACUAAUUCUCAGCAUGAAUGAAUAAUGUAGAUGUACACCUAACCCUUAAUUCCAGUGAUCAGUAUCAGGCAAAACCAGCUGUCCAAAGCAACGAGGAGCUGUCAAGCCUGACGUCUGACUAACAUAACACAGGAACAUUAUACAACCUCCACACUGAUGAGGCUCUGAUAGCUGCAUGGGGACAUCAGAGAACCAAUUUUCUUCUUACAGUGCAAGACACAAGAGGUGAAGGUUCAGGAGCCAUUCAGCCCAUAGCCUGUUUCUUCUCCUCAGGAGCAACUACAAAAACGUCAAACAUGAGUUCUCCAGAAGUAGCUGCUGUUGUGACCGCAGCAGCUAUUAGAUUGCUACAGCUCUGGUUUGUGCUGGGAAUCUCACUACAUGGGAGAGGUUCACAUCUAACAGUAUCAGCUGCCUAUGUAGUCGCUUUAGUCCCACUCCUUCUAAUAGGAUUUCAGCAGUGAUCGAUUUGUUCCAUGGAGUUUAUGCUGAAGGUAUCACUAGCUCAAAUAUUUAUUUCAGGCAUUCCUUCAAAACCUUCUGUGCCUGCUGACAGCUGUCUCAGGGCUCAGGGAUAGUGCCUUCAUCACUCUCAAGUCCUGAAGGAUGAUGCUUCAAGGUACUUACCUUCUUUUUCCAAUGAGAUUCCUUUACUGUUCAUACAUCCUCCGAUGCACGUGAAAAACAGGCAUCAUCUUUUCUCUCCCUAGCUGAUUAAUGGUCAGGAUAUGUUAUCAGAGCUAAUAGGAGUCAAAUGAAGAAAACUAGCGAAGUGAAAACCUGUAAACCAGUUCCUGUGCUUUCUCUGUCUCUUCUAAUACCUAAUGCCAGGGAUUUCAUUCUUGUCCAGUCAGGACUAAAAUGGAAAGGAUUAGAAAGUCUAUAAUUCCCACGUCUGCAAUAGGAGAGCAGUCAGCUGUUUCACUGGCCCAUUUCUUAGCAUGACAGAAAUGUAAAACUACAUAACAGAAAUGUUUUCCCUCCUGUACAACCUGCAAUUCUUCUUGAAAAAGCAGAUGUGGAGGUCCAUAAAGGUGAUCAGAGAACUGAAGCACCUCCCAUGUAAGGACAGGCUGACAGAAUUGGGCUUGUUUAGCCCAGAGAGGAGGAAACUGUGGGGAGACCUCAUAGUAGCCUUCCAGUACUUAAAGGGGGCUCACAGGAAAGCUGGGGAGGGGCUCUUUAUCAGGUAGAGCAGUGAUAGAACCAGGGGUAAUGGUUUUAAGCUGAAAGAAUACAGAUUUAGGUUAGAUAUUAGGAAGAAAUUUUUCCUGUGAAGGUGGUGAGGCACUGGAACAGGUUGUCCAGAGAAGUUGUGAAUGCCCCAUCACUGGAGGUGUUUAAGACCAGGCUGGAUGAGGCUUUGAGCAACCUGAUCUAAUGGAAGGUGUCCCUGCCCAUGUCAAGGGAGUGGGAACUAGAUGAUCUUUAAGGUCCCUUCCAACCCAAACCAUUCUGAUUCUAUGUGCAGACUAGCUUUCCACACACAUGACUGUGUCUGUGUACCUCUGCACCUUUAUUAACCUCUGCCCUGAGAUAUAUCACCUUUACUGAAGUGAUCAGUUUUCAAUGGCAAUUUUGCUGGUGUAAAGCAAGCAAGAUUUGACCUAUUCCUCUUUGUUGUCUUAUUUUAGCCUAUUGUUUUAGUUUAAAAUUCCUACCGGUACUCGUCUCUGCUCUAGUGACACUUCAGGCAGCAAAAGAGUCCUGCUAGCACAGGCAGGCUAGUGGUAUUCUAAAGAUCUAGUUUUAGUCUACUAGAGAAGACAAUGGGAGGUGAUGCUUUGUCUAUCUUAGCUUUCCAUCAGCUGUUGAAGUGACCACCAGUGCUUCAAUCUUCUCUGGGAAAGCUGGGUAGAUAAGAGCAGUAUUCCCAGCUCUAUUGAUACUCAGAUAACAUGCCACUGCCACCAUAUGCCUUCCUUGGUGCUUUCCUCUUCCAUCUCAUUCUCAAUUCAUCUACCACACAAAUGAAUUCGAAAAUCCUGUAAUUGCUAUUAACUUUCCACCAUGAAAUUGCUAUACAGACAAAGUGGAAGAUGAGAACUAUGAGUUCCUUGUCGAUUGAGAAGUCAGGGAGAUCCACUGUACCAGUGAGCAAUUCCCCCAUUCAGAGUGGCCUGAUGUGUGUUUAACUGAGACUCUUCCUGCACUUUAUGGGCAUGUUAUCAUAAUGCAUUCUGUAAGACAUACUGCAGACACAUGUAAGGAAUGAAGGAUUGAACCCCUGGAUGAGAGAGUGAAAUGCUCUGGAAGAGAAAGUGCAAACUCAUUUCCUGUACAUAGAGAGAUGAAAUUCCUCUUACAUGCAUAUAGCUUAUCCUUGCAGUUGCUCUUUCUCUCUUUCCUUCCAUCAUGCUGGUGAUGGUUAACUCCCAACAGUAGUGAAAGUAUUCCCUCUGUCUUGACAGAGUUUGAUUUGGUAAGCCUAUCUGUAUAAAACCUAUCGUGACACAGCACAAGAGUCUCAGGCUUUUAUUACUGAAUAUUUGAUUUGAAAGCCCAAAAAGUUGUCUGUUUUCAUUCUCUGUUUUUCCUCUUUCUAGUUUAGAAAAACUACUUUAACAAAACAAAUAAUGUAGCAAGCCUGAACUGUCUUCUUUCUCCCUUCUCUCAGUAGUAAUUAUUUGAAAGUAAUGCAAAACCAUUUCCAUUCAAAAUACUGUCAUGCAUUUUUUGGUUUUACUAGUUAAAGAAUAUUAAAUUAAAUACG